GGAGACUAUUGUACGGCUUGUGAGCAGUUCAACCUUCUGUGGACUAAAAACAAAACAUAAUGUACAAUCUCUUUGAUUGGCCCAAUCACAAGGAUGUCCCACUUGUGAUCCUCACCAUUCAUAACACAGUGGACCUAUUAGAACAAAUUAUGAUGAACCAGGUGUCUAGUCUACUGGGUCUUACAAGGAUGUCCUUCCAGUGCUGUACACAACAGCCAAACUGCAGCAUAGUUCAGUGUCCUGACUCAAACAUUUAAAGGCUUUUGAGGAUGGUGCCUCAAGGUAGUAGCCCUCUCUGGAGAUCCAUGAUGGCUAUGUGGAUAUUUACAGGCAUGCCACAGAGAUCUAUGAGUGUUCCCAGCAGAAGCCUAACUCCUCUGGCUUGGUCACUGUAGCCAACUUUAUCAACGCUGUGGAUCAGAUAUUUUCAUUUGCAUACAUCACCGCCGUAAAAAUUUCCUCAGUUCUCCCUGAGAACUAUCCUAACAGUGUUCUGCAGAUCAGGACUGGAAGCAGCAACAUUUCAAAAGGUAUACAAUAAGCACAUGGCUCUAUGAAAAAUAAAGGGACUGCUGCACCCUACCAUGUCAGAGACCGUGACUGUGUGUUCAUGCUUGGUUUCCUGUCCCUUCUACUCGUGGAACUUAUUAAGAACAAUCUGUUUCUUUGUGUGCAACUCAGCAUCAGCCAGAAUGAUAUGCUGUAUAUCCUA
rnacentral:lncRNA from 1 species